rnacentral:rRNA from 1 species
UACGGAGGAUGCGAGCGUUAUCCGGAUUUAUUGGGUUUAAAGGGUGCGUAGGCGGCUUUUAAGUCAGCGGUAAAAAUUCGGGGCUCAACCCCGUCCGGCCGUUGAAACUGGGGGCCUUGAGUGGGCGAGAAGAAGGCGGAAUGCGUGGUGUAGCGGUGGAAUGCAUAGAUAUCACGCAGAACCCCGAUUGCGAAGGCAGCCUUCCGGCGCCCUACUGACGCUGAGGCACGAAAGUGCGGGGAUCGAACAGG